rnacentral:rRNA from 1 species
CCUACGGGGGGCAGCAGUGAGGAAUAUUGGUCAAUGGGCGUAAGCCUGAACCAGCCAAGUCGCGUGGGGGAUGAAGGUCCUAUGGAUCGUAAACCUCUUUUAUAAGGGAAUAAAGUGUGGCACGUGUCCUUUUUUGUAUGUACUUUAUGAAUAAGGGUCGGCUAACUCCGUGCCAGCAGCCGCGGUAAUACGGAGGAUCCGAGCGUUAUCCGGAUUUAUUGGGUGUAAAGGGUGCGUAGGCGGCUUUUUAAGUCAGUGGUGAAAGUUUGUGGCUCAACCAUAGAAUUGCCGUUGAAACUGGGGGGCUUGAGUAUGUUUGAGGCAGGCGGAAUGCGUGGUGUAGCGGUGAAAUGCUUAGAUAUCACGCAGAACCCCGAUUGCGAAGGCAGCCUACCAAGCCAUGACUGACGCUGAUGCACGAAAGCGUGGGGAUCAAACAGGAUUAGAUACCCGAGUAGUC